UGAACGCUGGCGGCGUGCUUAACACAUGCAAGUCGAACGGUAACAGAAGAGAGCUUGCUCUUUUGCUGACGAGUGGCGCACGGGUGAGUAAUAUAUAGGUAACGUGCCUCUUAGUCUGGGAUAGCCAUUGGAAACGAUGAUUAAUACUAGAUACUCCUUCUCAUUAUAAUUUGAGUCGGGAAAGUUUUUCGCUAAGAGAUCGGCCUAUAUCCCAUCAGUUAGUUGGUAAGGUAACGGCUUACCAAGGCAAUGACGGGUAGCGGGUUUGAGAGGAUGAUCCGCCACACUGGUACUGAGACACGGACCAGACUCCUACGGGAGGCAGCAGUGAGGAAUAUUGCACAAUGGAGGAAACUCUGAUGCAGCAACGCCGCGUGGAGGAUGACGCAUUUCGGUGUGUAAACUCCUUUUAUAAGGGAAGAAAAUGACGGUACCUUAUGAAUAAGCACCGGCUAACUCC
rnacentral:rRNA from 1 species